ACUCAAAUGAAUUGACGGGGGCCCGCACAAGCAGCGGAGCAUGUGGUUUAAUUCGAAGCAACGCGAAGAACCUUACCAGGUCUUGACAUCCAUUUAAGCUCUAGGAGACUAGAGGUGCGCUUGCGCGAAAUGAGACAGGUGGUGCAUGGUUGUCGUCAGCUCGUGUCGUGAGAUGUUGGGUUAAGUCCCGCAACGAGCGCAACCCUUAUGUUUAGUUACUAACGCGUAGAGGCGAGGACUCUAGACAGACUGCCGGGGACAACUCGGAGGAAGGUGGGGACGACGUCAAAUCAUCAUGCCCCUUAUGACCUGGGCUACACACGUGCUACAAUGGCCACUACAGCGAGGCGCGAAGCCGCGAGGCGGAGGGAAUCUCGAAAAAGUGGUCUCAGUUCGGAUUGUGGGCUGCAACCCGCCCACAUGAAGUCGGAGUUGCUAGUAAUCGCGGAUCAGCAUGCCGCGGUGAAUACGUUCCCGGGCCUUGCACACACCGCCCGU
rnacentral:rRNA from 1 species